AUACGCAACAGCCGAUGGCAGCAGGGAUGGCGGUACGGAGUGCGCAUCUGCUUGGGUGGCCUUGGCAUCGAAUUCGGUUUGGCGUAUAUGACCAGGCAGAUCAGCAGAAAGAUGCCACCGAGGACGAUGAAAGGCUGGUAUGAGGUCUUGACCUUCUUGUCUCGCCACUUCCUGUGGAAUGACGUAUUAUGCGGUCAGUGAAGCCGAAGCCACGAAAGUACAUUUCGAAACCUGUUGCACCGAAACGGCAUAAAGAAACUUGUGCGCCAUUCUU